CAGAAGAGAAGAGAAGAUAGAGUGAGAGAUAGAGAGGCAAUUGAAAAACGACGCAGUAUGGCGAUGAUCGAUUCGGCACUUGAUUUCCUGCUCCCGUCCUGGUGGGAGAUCAAGGUCACUGUGGCUGGUGCCAUAUUUGCUAUCGCUUUAUUGGUUCUUUGCGUGGACUGGAGGAGGCGGAGAUACUGAAGGUGCUGGUAGUGAUCGAUCGCAGAUUUUGGACAAUUCCGGUAAUUCUGGGGAUGGAAUUGAUGAUAGAGACAAGAUGGGUCAGCUGAAAGGAGAUCAUCAGGCCAAUUCUGCUUAUAUAAUCAAGUUGGAAUUGUUGGCAGCUAAGAAUUUGAUUGGUGC
rnacentral:misc_RNA from 1 species